AGAGUUUGAUCAUGGCUCAGAUUGAACGCUGGCGGCAUGCUUUACACAUGCAAGUCGAACGGUAACGCGGGGGCAACCCUGGCGACGAGUGGCGAACGGGUGAGUAAUACAUCGAAACAUGUCCUGGAGUGGGGGAUAGCUCGGCGAAAGCCGGAUUAAUACCGCAUACGCUCUGAGGAGGAAAGCGGGGGACCUUUCGGGGCCUCGCGCUGCAGGAGUGGCCGAUGUCGGAUUAGCUAGUUGGUGGGGUAAAGGCCCACCAAGGCGACGAUCCGUAGCUGGUCUGAGAGGAUGAUCAGCCACACUGGGACUGAGACACGGCCCAGACUCCUACGGGAGGCAGCAGUGGGGAAUUUUGGACAAUGGGGGCAACCCUGAUCCAGCCAUGCCGCGUGAGUGAAGAAGGCCUUCGGGUUGUAAAGCUCUUUCGGACGGAACGAAAUGGUUACGGUGAAUAUCCGUGACUGAUGACGGUACCGUAAUAAGAAGCACCGGCUAACUACGUGCCAGCAGCCGCGGUAAUACGUAGGGUGCGAGCGUUAAUCGGAAUUACUGGGCGUAAAGCGUGCGCAGGCGGUUCGCCAAGUCAGGUGUGAAAUCCCCGGGCUUAACCUGGGAAUUGCGCUUGAAACUAGCGGGCUUGAGUGUGGCAGAGGGGGGUGGAAUUCCACGUGUAGCAGUGAAAUGCGUAGAGAUGUGGAGGAACACCGAUGGCGAAGGCAGCCCCCUGGGUCAACACUGACGCUCAUGCACGAAAGCGUGGGGAGCAAACAGGAUUAGAUACCCUAGUAGUCC
rnacentral:rRNA from 1 species